rnacentral:tRNA from 1 species
GGCGGCAUAGCUCAGUCGGUAGAGCAGCGGAAUCAUAAUCCGUUUGUCAUCGGUUCAAGUCCGGUUGCCGCUA